AUACGGAGGGUGCAAGCGUUAAUCGGAAUUACUGGGCGUAAAGCGCGCGUAGGCGGCUUGUUAAGUCGGAUGUGAAAGCCCCGGGCUCAACCUGGGAACUGCAUUCGAUACUGGCAAGCUAGAGUAUAGUAAAGGCAAGUGGAAUUCCGGGUGUAGCGGUGAAAUGCGUAGAUAUCCGGAGGAACGCCGGUGGCGAAAGCGACUCUCUGGCCUGCUACUGACGCUGAGGUGCGAAAGCGUGGGGAGCAAACAGGAUUAGAUACACCAGUAGUCC
rnacentral:rRNA from 1 species